AGGUGGGACCACCGCGCUACUGCCGCCAGGCAAAUUCUGUUAUCAGACCGUUUUUACGUUCUGAUGUAAUCUGAAUCAGUGCUGAAAAUCGUCUCUCAUCCNNNNNNNNNNNNNNNNNNNNGAAUCAGUGCUGAAAAUCGUCUCUCAUCCGCCAAAACAUCUUCGGCGUUGUAAGGUUAAGCCUCACGGUUCAUUAGUACCGGUUAGCUCAACGCAUCGCUGCGCUUACACACCCGGCCUAUCAACGUCGUCGUCUUCAACGUUCCUUCAGGAGACCUAAAGUCUCAGGGAGAACUCAUCUCGGGGCAAGUUUCGUGCUUAGAUGCUUUCAGCACUUAUCUCUUCCGCAUUUAGCUACCGGGCAGUGCCAUUGGCAUGACAACCCGAACACCAGUGAUGCGUCCACUCCGGUCCUCUCGUACUAGGAGCAGCCCCCCUCAGUUCUCCAGCGCCCACGGCAGAUAGGGACCGAACUGUCUCACGACGUUCUAAACCCAGCUCGCGUACCACUUUAAAUGGCGAACAGCCAUACCCUUGGGACCUACUUCAGCCCCAGGAUGUGAUGAGCCGACAUCGAGGUGCCAAACACCGCCGUCGAUAUGAACUCUUGGGCGGUAUCAGCCUGUUAUCCCCGGAGUACCUUUUAUCCGUUGAGCGAUGGCCCUUCCAUUCAGAACCACCGGAUCACUAUGACCUGCUUUCGCACCUGCUCGCGCCGUCACGCUCG
rnacentral:rRNA from 1 species